CUACGGAGGACGCGAGCGUUAUCCGGAUUCAUUGGGUUUAAAGGGUGCGCAGGCGGCCGUGCAAGUCAGCGGUGAAAGCCCGGGGCUCAACCCCGGAAGUGCCGUUGAUACUGCAUCGCUGGAAUGCGGUCGAGGCGGGCGGAACGGGGCGUGUAGCGGUGGAAAGCGUAGAUAUGCCACAGAACGCCGAUAGCGGAGGCAGCGCGCCAGGCCUGCAUUGACGCUCGGGCACGAAAGCGUGGGGAUCGAACAGGAUUAGAUACCCUGGUAGUCCACGCCGUAAACGAUGGGCGCUCGUCGUCGGCGGCAGACAGUCGGCGGCCAAGCGAAAGCGAUAAGCGCCCCACCUGGGGAGUACGGUCGCAAGGCCGAAACUCAAAUGAAUUGACGGGG
rnacentral:rRNA from 1 species